rnacentral:rRNA from 1 species
GUGUCAGCAGCCGCGGUAAUACGGAGGGCGCAAGCGUUGUUCGGAAUUACUGGGCGUAAAGCGCGUGUAGGCGGCUAAGCAAGUCGGUUGUGAAAGCCCAGGGCCCAACCCUGGAAUUGCGUCCGAAACUGCUUGGCUAGAGUCCUGGAGAGGAAGGCAGAAUUCCCAGUGUAGGGGUGAAAUCCGUAGAUACUGGGAGGAAUACCCGUAGCGAAGGCGGCCUUCUGGACAGUGACUGACGCUCAGACGCGAAAGCGUGGGGAGCAAACAGGAUUAGAUACCCCUGUAGUCC